GUACUAGAACUUCCUCUUUCACCUCUGCCAGCUGCCAGCUAAUAUGCCAGCCUUUGCUGAGCACUGAGAAAUGUCACGUAAGAUAUGCUGCUGAACGAAACCUUUGCACUCGCGUCUGUGACGGUCUAAAUUGAGGAACCUUUGAACACAACAUUUAAGACCUGCUAUGGGUUUAAGGUGAAACACUUUCGCUCCUAUAAUCGAUCUGAUUAUAUUUCAUUAAAUGUUCCUUCAUUCUUUAGGAAGAGAAAAUCCUCCGGACAAUAAAUAUUUUAAUUAUGUGUUAUGUAUUAUGAACGCUCCUUAAAUAAAAGCAUGACUUAAUACAUAAUGAAUCAACUCCCUGUUAUUAAAUAGUUGCAGAAUAAGUCAGAAGUUUGUGUUUUUUUAAGUGGCAAAUACAUAUUUAGGCUAAUUUUGUGGUAAGGUGCUGUGCGGUGUACUAAGACCUUCUUGGUGUCUCUGUUCUUAGUGGAAAAAAAAAAAAACCCCAGCACUGACUGCUGAGACACAGAAAAUACAAACCUGAUUUAAAUACAGGAAGUGCUGAAAACCAACCAGCCCUCUUCCUUUCUCUCCAGCUGCCGCAGCUUUUUGAAGACUCGCAUUAGUCCCCCCUUCACCAGACUGACAGGUUUCCUCUUCGAGUCACUAACUGAUGGGAAGCCACAGCAUCAUGUCCUCCUCUCUGUAUAGUUCCAGGUAUGUCAGCUGGUAUGUGGACAUAGCGGAGUCAAAAACCCCUGCAAUGGCAUCUACAGGUAAGAUCCAGCACACAUUUGUAAACCUUGUGUUCUAGGCAUCUUGAAAGACUGGUAUGACUGCCGCCACACAGGAAACACCAGAGAGUUACUGAAACAUUUAUCACAAAGCUUUAGUUUAAUAUGGCUAGGUUUUUUCCUUGAAAUUAUCUAGAGAUAUCUUUUCGAGAACAGUCUCUGUUUCUGGUUCCAGCUCCAAAAAUCUACGUGCAAUUAAAAUGAAGAAUGCCUUUGGAAUACAUAUUGAUCAGGCCUAACUUUUUCUUUGCUGUCUCCCUUGUUUUCCUUUGCUACCAAACACAACAGUCAGCUGCUAUGGAUUCUAACCCACUUCUCCUUCUGUCACCACCAGAAACUGACAGAACAGAAGCAAAUGCAUCAUCUUCCCAUCACCACCAACAGCCAAAAGUCAAUUGCCUCAAAGAUUUUAAAUCUUUCCUUGACUCCAAGUCAGACAGACUCAGUCACAGCAGUGAGGGUUUGGAUGAUGAGUGUAAAAAAGGCAACAUAGUACUGACAGAUACUGACAUCCAGAGCAAAGAGGAACUUUCUCUUUUGGAUCCAGAGGAUAAAAAAUUCCACCUUCCCCGGAGCAGUCCGGUCAUUUCCAGACGGAGCAGACCCAUCUCCUGGCACGGAGGAGUAAAUGAUACAUCUAAUCCCAGCUCGGACCCACCAUCUCCUGUCUUUGGUUCACCGUCUCUGGGUCCCCACGAGUGGUUGACAUCCACCAGUGGGGAGGAUCUGGAAUCCAAACCGAGCUCCUAUCAGUCGUCAUUCGCAGUGGAGAUAGCUAAAAAGCAAAACUCUACCUCUAUCUCAUCAAAUCUGAAGCGGCUUCUGACUCCCAGCCUCCACCUUCCCUACAGUGGACAGCAGGGAUUAGCUGAGGAGCAUAAAAGGCGGACCCAAAGUAGUUGCAUUCCCAACAACACACCAGGAUGCGCUACCUCAAUACAACAAAGCAAAGAAAGAAGUUGCAGCGAUAUCCCAGCAUCCACUGCAGAGAUCUACAAGACCAGUUGUGAACUGGAAAAGGAAAACGCUCAUUUUAUUGUGGUGGACAUGGUGCUGGAGAUGCUCGAAAAUGCAAAAUGGACUCUUAGCUUAGAUCAGUGGCGUUCCACAAUGGACACAAACUGCCUGAUGUACAAGGAAAGACAUAAAAUCUCGGCACAGGAGAGUUCGCCACAGAAGCAGACAUUUAGACUACACAGGCACAAAGUAAAGUACAGCAGAGUUGAUCCUAGACGAGAGAGAUACAAGCGAAGACAUCUUGAUGAAGACAUGAAGAUGUCGCACAGAGAAACACACUCAUGUGUAGAGCAGCAAACACAGGACAAAGAGGAGGAGGAAGCAGGGAAGGAUGAGCCUAAACAUCAAAUGAAAACUCUGUCUGUGCUCUCCACUGACAGCGGAUUUGAAGGUAAGAAUUUCUAUUUUUAA
rnacentral:lncRNA from 1 species